AUUGAACGCUGGCGGCAGGCCUAACACAUGCAAGUCGAGCGGAUGAAGGGAGCUUGCUCCUGGAUUCAGCGGCGGACGGGUGAGUAAUGCCUAGGAAUCUGCCUGGUAGUGGGGGAUAACGUCCGGAAACGGGCGCUAAUACCGCAUACGUCCUGAGGUAGAAAGUGGGGGAUCUUCGGACCUCACGCUAUCAGAUGAGCCUAGGUCGGAUUAGCUAGUUGGUGGGGUAAAGGCCUACCAAGGCGACGAUCCGUAACUGGCCUGAGAGGAUGAUCAGUCACACUGGAACUGAGACACGGUCCAGACUCCUACGGGAGGCAGCAGUGGGGAAUAUUGGACAAUGGGCGAAAGCCUGAUCCAGCCAUGCCGCGUGUGUGAAGAAGGUCUUCGGAUUGUAAAGCACUUUAAGUUGGGAGGAAGGGCAGUAAGUUAAUACCUUGCUGUUUUGACGUUACCAACAGAAUAAGCACCGGCUAACUUCGUG
rnacentral:rRNA from 1 species